rnacentral:tRNA from 1 species
UGGCUCAGUAGGUAGAGCAUGGUGUUUGCAACACCAGGGUUGUGGGUUCGAUUCCCAC